CGCGCCCGCCGCGCCCCGCGCCCGUCCCGCCGCCCCCGCCCGCCCUACGGGGCGCAGCAGGCGCGAAAACUUUACAAUGCGGGCAACCGUGAUAAGGGAACCCCGAGUGCCAGCACAGGCUGGCUGUCCGCCAGUGUAAACAACUGGUGAAGAAAGGGCCGGGCAAGACCGGUGCCAGCCGCCGCGGUAAUACCGGCGGCUCGAGUGGUGGCCGCUUUUACUG
rnacentral:rRNA from 1 species